rnacentral:lncRNA from 1 species
AAAUGACCACUUCAAAGAACAUGCAAGUAUCUAUGUCAUUAACAAUUGCAAACAUAAGUUUCUUUUUACUAUAGUUGUUGUAUGUACUAUCACACAGUUCCUCAUUCUGUUCUCACUCAAUAAUAAUAAAAAUGAAAAGAGAAGAUAGAGAUAAUCUGCCGCAAUUGCACUUCGGUGUCAUGGAUUCAGUCUGCCGCUUCAACAUCUCAUUAUCCGGCAGCACUCUGUCGCUAUCUUCUACCUAUGAAUAAAAACAGACCUUGUUAGAGAAGCAAAUGUGAAACCUUAUUACAACAUGUAUGCUAAGUCGCUAACCCAUAGAGACAGCUAGAACAAAUGUGGAAACUUUCCAUGUUGCCGAGCAAGUAUAUUAACUAGACAAAGUUAGAUGACAGUGAAGCUUAAAGCUGCAGUAAGAAAUAUUAGAUAUACACAUUUUUAAAAUCAACCUCAGAAGUGGAUACUCUAGUAGACCUACAAGAGCAGAUAUGGUAGUAACCAAAAUCCUAUAAAGAUUCGAGGUUAAAGAUUAUAAAUCCAAUUUGUCAUUAGCAUAAAAAUAUUAGUUCCAUGAAGAAGUUUGUCAAGAGAUAUUUUCUAGUGUUUCUAAGACAGUGACUGAAACAUAAUGAAAGAAAACACGUUUCUGCAUUUUAAUUAGGGGGAGCUUUAGUUCUAAAAUACUGGAACUGUGACUGAAUGAUCAUAUAUACUAUUAGAAAAACAGACCAAAAUCCCCGCAGAACAAAACAGACCAAAAAAAUUAACUUCCUACUUAUAGUGGCAAGAAAAUCUUAUAUGAAUGUGUUAUAAUAAAUAAUGCUAACCAUGAAGUCUUCUUCCAUAUAACAAAGGAGUGACGAAACCAAAAAACCUGUAAUUCAAGUAUGACAAGCAGUUAGUUAAUUAUUUGCAUGUCAACAGUUCUAAUGUCUAGCUACAGAUCUUCAAAGUAAAGAUUGUGAACUCUAUUAGACAUGAUUAUAUCAAUUAGACCAAAUAGAAAAUAAUUCAAUAUGUUGUAUAUCCAUUAAACGAAGUUCAAUCUAUCUUCUGAUUAUUAGUGUUUUAGUUAGGUGAUUAGUCCUUCUACGGCCGCCGGUUAAUAGGUGAGCCAUGACUUUUUACAGUAAAAAAUGCAAAGGAAAUAACAAGUUAGUAUUUUUCCAAAUCUAAUUAUACGGCCACGUUGAUCAUACCUUACUAAUUCUGGCCGGACACUAGUAAAACAAGAAAAACUCCCAUGCUUUAUCGGUGCACAUUCACCAUUUGAUAGUGUGAUCAUUUGAGAUCACUAAAUCAUCUUCUAUACGA